rnacentral:lncRNA from 1 species
GGACCGUGUUGUAUUAACCUAUUCCUUGCAAGUAGUUUUUAUGCUAUAAACAGAUUUAUAAAUUUGACUGUCCAGCAUUGUAUUACAUUUUUUACUAUUUCCUGGUGAUACAGUGUCUUUAGUUCAUUUGAAUAUUUCUGUUAAUGGGGUACUCAGAAUGGAAUAAAUUAUUCUCUCUGUGGUCUUACUGAUAACUUAAUUCAAAAGUUUUUAUCAUGUGUUGGUCCCAAAACAAUGUUUUGUGUUUAAUGUAGAGCUAAAAAGUUGUGGUCAUUUUUGUUGCAAUCCUAGUUUUUCCAUUAAAUUAAAAUGUAUUUUUAAAAUAACUUUUUUAGUAUUUCUUUCUCUAACAGUACGUUUAACAAAAGUGUAUAUUUUGUCAUAGCGUUAUGUUCUUAUUUUAAGACCUUUGAUUAGGAACCUUAACUUGAGAAUCCAACCAUGUUCGUCUACUAAAUUCUGUAACUCUUUGUUGUGACUAGUCCUCAGUAAGAAUACUAACGUCUCACAAUUCAUUUACUAAUCUUACUGAGAUUCUAUUCACUGUGUCUUCCAGAUAACUAAUAGAAAUGUCCAAGAAGGUCUUAUACUAAUCUGCUGUAAGAUUUUAUAACUUUACACAGUUUGAAAAGCAAUAUUUUUUCUUCCAUUUUAUAUAACAUAACUUCUAUUCAAAUCAUCACCACAAAGACCGAGGCAAAUAUCCCACUUUACCUUGAGAAUAUCUGAAUGACCAGCCUUCAAAGAAAACCCAAGAUAAGUAGGCAGAGUUAUAAUCAUUGUGCUCAGGUGUUAGCCAUUAGCUCUGCUUAAGAACUAAUUCAGAACUGUCCUUUAGACAGGACAAAGAGAUUCCAUGUAAGGUUUGAAAAGGAGAACAUCCUCUGCAGGAGAAGGAGACGGAUCUGUGAUGACUAUGAAGCUAAAGGGGAAGGACUUUCCCAUACCACGGUCAUGGAGAAGCAAAAGAGAGACCUCACAGACUUCCAGUGCUAGGAAGAUGACACACCAACACCGGAUGCUAGUUCUAUUAUUUAGCCUGACCCUGGAGGUGAUACAGAAGAAAAUGUGGCCCAGAAAAGGGAUCAAAAGAAGGUGCAAUAUUGUAAACAACUGCAUUUGAAAUCUGAAACAGAGAUUUAUUUCCCACCAGUGCUUAUGUAUUCCUAGUAAAAUGGACUUCCUUCAAGCAACAUGUCAUUGUGGAUAAUACUCUGGCAAGCCAGAGAUUUAAUUUCAUUAAACGGCACAUUUUUUGUGUUUCCAAAUGCUUUUUUGUCAUCAUCUAUUGUUGAAGAACUUAGUAAUAAUUGUAAAAUAUGAACUCCUGAUUACUGGAAGAUAUUUUGGUUGAGUAAAUAAUUCACUAAUUACCACCUCCAUAAAAAUGAACACAAAUGAACAGAAAACAAGUAUACAGGAAAGCUAUUGCAAUGGUUUUCUUUAUCACUAAAUGAAAUCUAGUCAUCUCUGAAAAGUAGUAUUCCCUUAUUUUGAG